rnacentral:rRNA from 1 species
GACGAACGCUGGCGGCGUGCUUAACACAUGCAAGUCGAACGGAAAGGCCCUGCUUUUGUGGGGUGCUCGAAUGGCGAACGGGUGAGUAACACGUGAGUAACCUGCCCUUGACUUUGGGAUAACUUCAGGAAACUGGGGCUAAUACCGGAUAGGAGCUCCUGCUGCAUGGUGGGGGUUGGAAAGUUUCGGUGGUUGGGGAUGGACUCGCGGCUUAUCAGCUUGUUGGUGGGGUAGUGGCUUACCAAGGCUUUGACGGGUAGCCGGCCUGAGAGGGUGACCGGCCACAUUGGGACUGAGAUACGGCCCAGACUCCUACGGGAGGCAGCAGUGGGGAAUAUUGCACAAUGGGCGGAAGCCUGAUGCAGCAACGCCGCGUGCGGGAUGACGGCCUUCGGGUUGUAAACCGCUUUCGCCUGUGACGAAGCGUGAGUGACGGUAAUGGGUAAAGAAGCACCGGCUAACUACGUG